GACGAACGCUGGCGGCGUGCUUAACACAUGCAAGUCGAGCGGUAAGGCCCUUUCGGGGGUACACGGAGCGGCGAACGGGUGAGUAACACGUGGGUGACCUGCCCUCAGCUCUGGGAUAAGGCCUGGGAAACCCGGGUCUAAAUACUGGAUAUGACUCCAUGACGCAUGUUGUGGGGUGAAAGCCUUGUNCGGCUGAGGAUGGGCCCGCGGCCUAUCAGCUUGUUGGUGGGGU
rnacentral:rRNA from 1 species